AAAACAACCAUCAUUUAAAAUGUCACAUAACAAAACGACUUGAGAUUUUAAAAAAUAAAAUGUUUUCUUUUCCAUCAUAUUGCUAGUGGAGAUAAUACAAUUAGUACACUGACUCCUGAGAGGAACAGGAGACUUGGUUUUCAUAAAGUAUGCCUUGAAAGCUUCCCUCUGGUGCUCUAGCACACUCUCUCAUCUCUAAAGGCAUGUGGUGGAGAGUAAUGCUUCUCGAAUUCAUAGUGGUCUUCUUCUGAAAUAGAUUUUAGGUUUUAUAUGGAGUAUUAACACCUGAGCCAAAACCCUUUGACUCUCCUCACAGAGAAUGGGCAGUAACAAAAGUUUCAAUUUUAACAUUUUUACAGAUGGUCACUGUACUUCUACUAAUUGUUAAAAUAGGCGGAAAGAUUCUAAAACUUCUGUGUCACACAAGGAUAGUACAGAUUGUAGAAUUACAUUGAUGACCUGUGCUUUCAUUUGAUGGAUUGAAUGACAGCUAAGACCCCUUGUAACAGUAUGAUUCGAAAGUGCAUUGGAAUAUGAAAAUGACUUAUGCCCAUCAUGAGGUGAAGGGUGAUCUGAGAAAACCUUACAUUUGCAGGUCUACAGAGUGUAAAAGCUUAUAGUUACUUGUCCAAGACAUUUAGGAAGCCAGUGCUUGAUGAAAUAGUAGAAAUGUUAUUUCUGCUCUUAGACUUGUCAGUAGCAAGUUAAUGUUGGUAAAUUAUAGCUAAAGUCUGGGGCAUAUUCAGAUUUUUCUAAGGUUUUUGGUUGUUUUUAUUAUGAGAUUCAUUAACCAUCUUCUGUCUUAUUCAUUAGUGUAGCCCAUCAAUUUUCAGUCAUUCUAAGGUUAUUUGAAAUUGAUAUAUUUGCCUGUUACAAAGCAAAGAUAUAACAAAUAUUGGGUUGCUGAGUCUUCUCUUAGCCUUGAAGCUGCUGUGAUAUUUCACACUUUUCAUGUUUUCUAGCUUGAGGGCACACUGUUGUCUUUAGGUUUUCCAUCUAACUAAAAAGUCCGAUGGUGGUAUAUGUAUAGAUAAAUUCAGAACAAGGAUGAAGUCAGUCUUGGCACUCUUCAGGACCUUCCAUUUCUCCCUUGAAUUCAAUAAAGACCAUUAAAAGAGGCAGGAAUGAUCGAGGAAUUAGG
rnacentral:lncRNA from 1 species